rnacentral:rRNA from 1 species
UACGUAGGGUGCGAGCGUUAAUCGGAAUUACUGGGCGUAAAGCGUGCGCAGGCGGUCUGUUAAGACCGAUGUGAAAUCCCCGGGCUUAACCUGGGAACUGCAUCGGUGACUGGCAGGCUUUGAGUGUGGCAGAGGGAGGUAGAAUUCCACGUGUAGCAGUGAAAUGCGUAGAGAUGUGGAGGAAUACCGAUGGCGAAGGCAGCCUCCUGGGCCAACACUGACGCUCAUGCACGAAAGCGUGGGGAGCAAACAGG